GUAAAUUAUAAUUCACCAUUGUCUAAGCAAACCAACAAUUUUUUCUCUCUCUUUAUGAAUUCCCCCUCUCUAUAUUUUUCCAUUCAUUCACCUAACAACAUGUACUACUCUCAUAUCUCCAAAUGAGGUGGCUGCAAUCCCUCCUCUCUCCAUGGAAGAAGCUCUGGUUUCGCAAGCAUUCGCCUCAGAGAAAGAAUAGAGGGAUAUACAUUUUGUAUGAAGAUGUGAAGUCUUGCCAAUGUGAAGAUGUGCAUGUCCUCUGGUCCAUUCUGGUGGAGUCCAAUACAUCCUCCAUGUCAUUACAACCUUAAGGCAAGAUAUUCACGACAUUAUCGGAUCAGUAACAAUUGUUUGAUCAUUACAUAUACAUAUAUAUGUUGAAUAAUACUGUUUAAUGUAUCAAUUUAAUAACGUUAUCCGGUGAUGAUGUAAUAUAAACUUUUCGAGAAUGAUAGGUGGUUAGGAGAUGAGAAAUUUGCCAAUUAUGUACAUAAUAUAUAAUAUUGGCUAGUUCCUCUCUCUCUUGUAAUUUGUAAUUGUAGCUACAAUGUUAAAAGAUUAUGAAUCUCUCU